rnacentral:rRNA from 1 species
AUUGAACGCUGGCGGCAGGCCUAACACAUGCAAGUCGAACGAGUGGCGGCCGGGUGAGUAAUGUUUGGGAAACUGCCCGUUGGAGGGGGAUAACUACUGGAUACGGUAGCAAAUACCGCAUACCAUCUGAUGUGCCCAGAUGGGAGUACCUCGUGGGUGGGGUAACGGCUCACCCAGACGACGAUCACUCGCUGGUCUGAGAGGAUGACCCGCCAAACUGGAACUGAGACACGGUCCAGACUCCUACGAGAGGCAGCGAUGGGAAAUAUUGCACAAUGGGCGCGAGACUGAUGAGGCCAUGCCGCGUGUAUGAAGAAGGCCUUCGGGUUGGAAAGUACUUUCAGCGAGGGGGCGUUACUCGCAGAAGAAGCACCGGCUAACUCCGUGCCAGCAGCCGCGGUAAUAC